AAUAGGUAACGUACCCUGUGCUUUGGGAUAGCGUCAGUUACUUCGGUAACUUUCCGUAAGGGGCGGUAAUACCAAAUAAUAUCAUUUGUCGAUAGGCAGAUGAUCAAAGAUUUAUCGGCGCAGGAGCGGCCUGUCUCCUAUCAGCUUGUUGGUGAGGUAAUGGCUCACCAAGGCAACGACGGGUAGCGGGACUGAGACACUGCCCGGACCUCCACGGAGGGCUGCAGUAACGGAUAUUGUGCAAUGGGCGAAAGCCUGACACAGCGACGCCGCGUGUAGGAGGAAGUCUUUCGGGAUGUAAACUACUGUCAGGGGGAAGAAAGUGCGCUUCGGCGUAUUGAUCUAACCCAGAGGAAGUCACGGCUAACUUCGUGCCAGCAGCCGCGGUAAGACGAAGGUGGCAAGCGUUGUUCGGUAUUACUGGGCUUAAAGCGUGUGUAGGCGGAAAAGUAAGCGUCUUGUGGAAUCCCCCGGCUUAACCGGGGAAUUGCGUAACGUACUGCUUUUCUUGAGGCAAGUAGGGGUGCAUGGAACUCUUGGUGGAGCGGUGGAAUGCGUAGAUAUCAAGAGGAACGCCAGUGGAGAAAUCGGUGCACUGGGCUUGUCCUGACGCUGAGACACGAAAGCGUGGGGAGCGAACGGGAUUAGAUACCCCGGUAGUCCACGCCGUAAACGAUGCCUACUAGGUUGUGGUGGUUCUGACACCAGCACAGCCGAAGCAAAAGUGCUAAGUAGGCCGCCUGGGGAGUACGGUCGCAAGGCUAAAACUCAAAGGAAUUGACGGGGGCUCACACAAGCGGUGGAGCAUGUGGAUUAAUUCGAACAACGCGUAGAACCUUACCUGGGUUUGACAUGCAUGUAUGGUUGCCUGGAAACAGGUUAAUCUGCCUUCGGGUGAAACUUGCACAGGUGCUGCAUGGCCGUCGUCAGCUCGUGUCGUGAUUUCGGGUUAAGUCCUUUAACGAGCGAAACCCUUACCGUUAGUUGCCAGCGGGUCAUGCCGGGGACUCUAGCGGGACUGCCGGUGUUAAACCGGAGGAAGGCGGGGACGACGUCAAGUCAUCAUGGCCUUUAUGCCCAGGGCCUCACACGUGCUACAAUGGCGAUCACAAAGCGACGCAAGACCGCGAGGUGGAGCAAAUCGCAAAAAGGUCGCUCCAGUUCGGAUUGUAGGCUGGCAACUCGCCUGCAUGAAGUCGGAAUCGCUAGUAAUCGCGUAUCAGCUACGACGCGGUGAAUGUGUUCCUGAGCCUUGUACACACCGCCCGUCAAGUGAUGGGAGUUGGGAGUACCCGAAGUCGGUUUGCUAACCUAAUUUAUUAGGAAGCGGCUGCCGACGGUAAGCCCGAUGACUGGCACUAAGUCGUAACAAGGUA
rnacentral:rRNA from 1 species